GUAUAAGAUACGCCGAAUAUGCCACUGGUGCAACUAUCACGAAUAAGAUGUACAGAAAGAAAUUACAGUCCACUUUUUUUCCUCUCUCACCUCUCUUCAAAGCGAUUUCCGGCAGGGAGAAACCUUUUUUUUUUCCCGACAACCGAAACUACUCAGAUCUUCUUAGAUCUGAACAGUGUCAGUUUCAAUCAACAAGUUUUAGUUUAGAUUAAGUUAGUAAGAUCGAAUUUAGCUCAAGAAGAAGAACAAAAAAAAAAAAACAACUAAAUAUCAAAACGUCAACAUCUUCUUCAAACCCUAAUUUAAACACCACGAAUUUAGCAGAUCUCAUCAGCUAAAUCUCGAUUCACUAGCCGUUCUGCAUGAAUUAGGUACUUGCUGUAAAUUUGUGAUACCCAAUCUUAUCCAUGGAGUUUUCAUCUGAUUUCUAAGUUGCUGCUGGGUUUGGGAUUAUCUCUGAUUUACUCAUGGUUUGGUUUCCAACUUCUGGCUUUGGUUUUCAGACGCAAUAGCCUAUCAAACCUUGUUCAAUGAGUCCAAGAAGCUUCUUUUAUCCUUGGAACUGUUUUUUUGCAUCAAAUUUUGGGUCCAACUAAAAGUUUAUCCUUGUUACGGUUAUAUUCAAAUUGGCCUGGGACACCAGUUUUUGGAGAUUUAAAAUGCUCAACCUAAUAAUUCAGCAUCCAAGCUUUCACCCUACAACAUUAGCUCUCGCCUGCACCGAGAUUUGGGAUACCCAACCGAUAUCUACUAUCGUCUAUGGUGCACUAGUUAUGAAUCCUGAGCAUAAUCACAAUCGUCGCACGAUGGAAAUAAUGAAAUACUAAUUUUCUAGGAUGCUAUCACAACUACAUUCUCUUAUCUCUCAGCGGCAAGCAAAUCCUAUUUGAAAUGUGAAUUGGCCGGUGAACUUGACGCAUUUACUUACCAUUUUCUUCAGUUUUUGUUUUAUGUUAUUUUGCAAGCAAAUUGUAUUUCGUUUCUUUUCUAAGACAUUAGUGUAAUCUUGUUUGAAUCUGUAAUUCGUUUGUUUCUUAGUUACAGUUUUAGUAG